rnacentral:rRNA from 1 species
GAUGAACGCUGGCGGCGUGCCUAAUACAUGCAAGUCGAGCGAACGGACGAGAAGCUUGCUUUUCUGAUGUUAGCGGCGGACGGGUGAGUAACACGUGGAUAACCUACCUAUAUGACUGGGAUAACUUCGGGAAACCGGAGCCAAUGCCGGAUAAUAUUUUGAACCGCAUGGUUCAAAAGUGAAAGACGGUCUUGCCGUCACUUAUAGAUGGAUCCGCGCUGCAUUAGCUAGUUAGUAAGGUAACGGCUUACCAAGGCAACGAUGCAUAGCCGACCUGAGAGGGUGAUCGGCCACACUGGAACUGAGACACGGUCCAGACUCCUACGGGAGGCAGCAGUAGGGAAUCUUCCGCAAUGGGCGAAAGCCUGACGGAGCAACGCCGCGUGAGUGAUGAAGGUCUUCGGAUCGUAAAACUCUGUUAUUAGGGAAGAACAUAUGUGUAAGUAACUGUGCACAUCUUGACGGUACCUAAUCAGAAAGCCACGGCUAACUACGUG